CAUCGAAAAGGGUGCAUCUUCCUAUAAUUUCAACCUGUGCUUGAUUUUAAAAAGCAAACAUUAAAUUUUAUUUUUUUAAGAUUUUGUUUAUUUAUUUAUUUAUUUACUUACUUACUUACUUAUUUACGAGAGAGAGGACACAAGCAGGGGUGGAGGACAGUGAAGGAGGGACAAGCAGACUCUCCACUGAGCAGGAAGGCCAAUGUGGGGCUCCCUCCCAGGACCUGGGAAUCAUGACCUGAGCCAGGGCAGAUGCUUAACCUCCUGAGCCACCCAGGCGCCCCCAAAUGUUACCUUUCAAAUCUGAGUUGGCACAUGACCCUCCUGAGCAGUCACCAUUAAGUUGAAAGAGCUUUAGACCAAAGCAGCGGGGGAGAGAGACAAAGUGCCUGGAGAACCCGUCUGCGUGGCUGAGACAGGAGUAGCCUGCGCUGCGCUCCCAGGGAGGGUGUCACCAGGCUGGGGCGGCACCUGCAGACGCUCGCUCACUGGCAAGAGCAGGUGGAGAGGGACCCUGUCCCCUUCACCGUCACUGCCCCACCCCGCGAUCCCCAACCCGGAGCAGCCACUGUGCCGCUGCAGAUGGGACCCCUCGCCGGCGUCUCCUCUCCCGGAGUGGCCACCGCCCCUGUGUCCCCGCCUGGGUCAGUGGACUCCACCUUGAGCCAUGAGCACCCCAGAGCAGAGAAGAGAGGAGCAUGGACAUUAGGGUGCCCACAAAGAAGACUGGCUCUCGCCCUCUAACUCGUGGAGCAUUCAUCUAUGCUACUGAACCUGCCCCGCAGCACAGUUCAAGACCAUUGAACGCAGCAUCUCAAUAGAAUGAGAGAAGGAAAGGAUGGGAACCAACAAAACCACCACAAAGAACAGUGUGAUGAAGCUUGGCCGCCUCACAUCUCAGCUGGCUCCCCGGGCCCACGUCCACGCGGGCUUCCCAUGAGCUGGAAGCAGCACUCCGUGAAUUAAUCAACUUUGUCUCCACUGAGCUGAAGACUUGUUCCACAUCAUUCAGGACCUACAUAAUCAACCAAACCGAAAAAUACAAUGAACUGUCCCCUCUGACAAUGGGGACAUGUCUUUGAGUAUUCUUAAAGAAUA
rnacentral:lncRNA from 12 species